UACGUAGGUGACCAGCGUUGUCCGGAUUUACUGGGCGUAAAGAGCGCGCAGGCGGUCGUUCAAGUCGAGUGUGAAAGCCCCCCGGCUCAACUGGGGAGGGUCAUUCGAUACUGAUCGACUCGAAGGCAGGAGAGGGAAGCGGAAUUCCCGGUGUAGUGGUGAAAUGCGUAGAUAUCGGGAGGAACACCAGUGGCGAAGGCGGCUUCCUGGCCUGUUCUUGACGCUGAGGCGCGAAAGCGUGGGGGAGCAAACAGG
rnacentral:rRNA from 1 species